AGAGUUUGAUCCGUGGCUCAGGACGAACGCUGGCGGCGCGCCUAACACAUGCAAGUCGAACGGAGCUUAGAGAGCUUGCUUUUUAAGCUUAGUGGCGAACGGGUGAGUAACGCGUGAGUAACCUGCCCUAGAGUGGGGGACAACAGUUGGAAACGACUGCUAAUACCGCAUAAGCCCACGGUACCGCAUGGUACUGAGGGAAAAGGAUUUAUUCGCUUUAGGAUGGACUCGCGUCCAAUUAGCUAGUUGGUGAGGUAACGGCCCACCAAGGCGACGAUUGGUAGCCGGACUGAGAGGUUGAACGGCCACAUUGGGACUGAGACACGGCCCAGACUCCUACGGGAGGCAGCAGUGGGGGAUAUUGCACAAUGGGGGAAACCCUGAUGCAGCGACGCCGCGUGGAGGAAGAAGGUUUUCGGAUUGUAAACUCCUGUCGUUAGGGACGAUAAUGACGGUACCUAACAAGAAAGCACCGGCUAACUACGUGCCAGCAGCCGCGGUAAAACGUAGGGUGCAAGCGUUGUCCGGAAUUACUGGGUGUAAAGGGAGCGCAGGCGGGAAGACAAGUUGGAAGUGAAAACCAUGGGCUCAACCCAUGAAUUGCUUUCAAAACUGUUUUUCUUGAGUAGUGCAGAGGUAGAUGGAAUUCCCGGUGUAGCGGUGGAAUGCGUAGAUAUCGGGAGGAACACCAGUGGCGAAGGCGGUCUACUGGGCACCAACUGACGCUGAGGCUCGAAAGCAUGGGUAGCAAACAGGAUUAGAUACCCUGGUAGUCCAUGCCGUAAACGAUGAUUACUAGGUGUUGGGGGAUUGACCCCCUCAGUGCCGCAGUUUAACACAAUAAGUUAUCCACCUGGGGAGUACGACCGCAAGGUUGAACUCAAAGGAAUUGACGGGGGCCCGCACAAGCGUGGAGUAUGUGGUUACUUCGAAGCAACG
rnacentral:rRNA from 1 species